rnacentral:rRNA from 1 species
AACGCUAGCUACAGGCUUAACACAUGCAAGUUGAGGGGCAGCAUGGUCCUAGCUUGCUAAGGCCGAUGGCGACCGGCGCACGGGUGAGUAACACGUAUCCAACCUGCCGUCUACUCUUGGACAGCCUUCUGAAAGGAAGAUUAAUACAAGAUGGCAUCAUGAGUCCGCAUGUUCACAUGAUUAAAGGUAUUCCGGUAGACGAUGGGGAUGCGUUCCAUUAGAUAGUAGGCGGGGUAACGGCCCACCUAGUCUUCGAUGGAUAGGGGUUCUGAGAGGAAGGUCCCCCACAUUGGAACUGAGACACGGUCCAAACUCCUACGGGAGGCAGCAGUGAGGAAUAUUGGUCAAUGGGCGAGAGCCUGAACCAGCCAAGUAGCGUGAAGGAUGACUGCCCUAUGGGUUGUAAACUUCUUUUAUAAAGGAAUAAAGUCGGGUAUGUAUACCCGUUUGCAUGUACUUUAUGAAUAAGGAUCGGCUAACUCCGUGCCAGCAGCCGCGGUAAUACGGAGGAUCCGAGCGUUAUCCGGAUUUAUUGGGUUUAAAGGGAGCGUAGAUGGAUGUUUAAGUCAGUUGUGAAAGUUUGCGGCUCAACCGUAAAAUUGCAGUUGAUACUGGAUAUCUUGAGUGCAGUUGAGGCAGGCGGAAUUCGUGGUGUAGCGGUGAAAUGCUUAGAUAUCACGAAGAACUCCGAUUG